ACAUAAUGGACACGAUAUUAUUUAUCGACUUAUUAAUUGGAUAUAAUUAAUUUAUGAAUAAUUUACGCCUCUCGGGGCAUAACCCAGUGGUGCAAAGGAUAUGAGUGAGAUUAUCUCACGCAUUGCUAACAGCUGCAGGGUGAGGGUUUGAUUCUUGAGAUAUGAAAUUGAAUUUCUUGUAGGCGCCGUAUAUAAGCAGUUCUUAUUCCCUGACCUGUUGGGGCACAUCUCGCGAUUUACCUCCCUCACAAAAUUUUAAGGGCGGGACGGUGGGAGCCCUCAAAGUUGGGAUUCAACCUCUAUAAUUUGCGUGUCGAUUGAUGCUAUGCUGGCUGUUGGUAUAGCCCAAUGGCCAAUCAUUUCUUUAUGCUCCACUAUAAUUAAAGGGUUUUAUAUUUGGCAAAAAGGAAAAAUGGGCUUUCGAAUUUCAUAAGUGAUUUCCUAAUCUUAAAAACUUCUAACUUAUUUUAUUUCCCUACUCGGUACUCGAUAUCAUAUCUACUAUCCCUAAAAGUUAAUGCUAUUUAUCACUCCGAGUGAUUAAUCCUAGUCGGCAAUGUAAUUUCAUAGAAUAAUUUAAUAAUAGUCUCACUUCUCGGUGCUAAUCACCACAAGUUAUACAUAUUAAAUAGCAUUACUCAAAACUUUUGGUACCUAAAAAUUUAGUGCUUGUUUUUAAUUGAUCAAACUUCAAUUUUAAAUGUAAUCCACAUUUUUUUUAUCAAUUUUUCAACCUUGCGUUCCAUCAACUUAUAUAAAAAAAUUUGUUAAACAACCCUUCACUCAAGAUUUUAUUAGGGAUUAGUAAAAAUAGAACAACAAAUUUGAAUCGAACAACUUGGUAGUGAUAAAUUAGAUCAAAUAUGCAAUAAAAUGUGAAUAUAGACUACAUGGUUUGAGACAAUUCCACAAGAAUACGAGGUUGGAUAUGCCUCUACGGCUAUACAAAUCACUGAAUAAAGACGCAUUGUAAAUGCAUAAGCGCGUUAGGUACCCGUUUCUAUCAUUGACUUUAGCUUCAAAUUCUUUGGGACCAAAAUUAACUAAGAAAUGUAAACACGUAAAUCCAAUUAGUCCUUAAUCGCAUGAAAAAUUGAUUGGUACUUUCUUUAUGGCAAUCAAUUGCUUUAAUUAAGAAUUAAAUAAGAUUGCAUAGAGAUAUUAAUUUAUUCCAAAAAACAAUUUUACAAUUAUUUAUAAAUUUAACUUUGAUCUACUUAGGCUACUGAUGAUCGUCGGUUUAGGUGUCAAUUAAGUCGUGAUGAUGGUGUUAUCAGGUAACAGGGCCAAAUAUGAAGUAAAGAAAUUUCUAUGCAACCCAAAAAUAGGAAAAGAAAAAAUUCAAUAAUGGGAUAAAACCUAGAAGUAACAACUACUCCUUUAUUCAGG
rnacentral:lncRNA from 1 species